AGUCGUACGCUUCUUUUUCCACCGGAGCUUGCUCCACCGGAAAAAGAAGAGUGGCGAACGGGUGAGUAACACGUGGGUAACCUGCCCAUCAGAAGGGGAUAACACUUGGAAACAGGUGCUAAUACCGUAUAACAAUCGAAACCGCAUGGUUUUGAUUUGAAAGGCGCUUUCGGGUGUCGCUGAUGGAUGGACCCGCGGUGCAUUAGCUAGUUGGUGAGGUAACGGCUCACCAAGGCCACGAUGCAUAGCCGACCUGAGAGGGUGAUCGGCCACAUUGGGACUGAGACACGGCCCAAACUCCUACGGGAGGCAGCAGUAGGGAAUCUUCGGCAAUGGACGAAAGUCUGACCGAGCAACGCCGCGUGAGUGAAGAAGGUUUUCGGAUCGUAAAACUCUGUUGUUAGAGAAGAACAAGGAUGAGAGUAACUGUUCAUCCCUUGACGGUAUCUAACCAGAAAGCCACGGCUAACUACGUGCCAGCAGCCGCGGUAAUACGUAGGUGGCAAGCGUUGUCCGGAUUUAUUGGGCGUAAAGCGAGCGCAGGCGGUUUCUUAAGUCUGAUGUGAAAGCCCCCGGCUCAACCGGGGAGGGUCAUUGGAAACUGGGAGACUUGAGUGCAGAAGAGGAGAGUGGAAUUCCAUGUGUAGCGGUGAAAUGCGUAGAUAUAUGGAGGAACACCAGUGGCGAAGGCGGCUCUCUGGUCUGUAACUGACGCUGAGGCUCGAAAGCGUGGGGAGCAAACAGGAUUAGAUACCCUGGUAGUCCACGCCGUAAACGAUGAGUGCUAAGUGUUGGAGGGUUUCCGCCCUUCAGUGCUGCAGCUAACGCAUUAAGCACUCCGCCUGGGGGAGUACGACCGCAAGGUUGAAACUCAAAGGAAUUGACGGGGGCCCGCACAAGCGGUGGAGCAUGUGGUUUAAUUCGAAGCAACGCGAAAAACCUUACCAGGUCUUGACA
rnacentral:rRNA from 1 species